CGCGUAGGCGGACUUUCAAGUCGGAUGUGAAAUCUCCAGGCUUAACUUGGAGCUUGCAUCCGAUACUGUUGGUCUUGAGUAUAUCAGAGGAAAGCGGAAUUCCAGGUGUAGCGGUGAAAUGCGUAGAUAUCUGGAAGAACACCAGUAGCGAAGGCGGCUUUCUGGGUAUAACUGACGCUGAAGCGCGAAGGCUAGGGGAGCAAACA
rnacentral:rRNA from 1 species